UUUCCAUCCCGAUCUCCUAUUGAAGCCUUGGAUUCAGUCUAUCCUCGUGAGAAGGGGUAGGCAACACUGGUCAUCUGGGCUGGGCAUUUUUAGUGAUAAAAUUACCAGCAGCCGUUAUCUUAUCAUCUUGCGGUCCACAGAUCAUACGCCGGUGGCCCUGUAUGGGGUUAAAAUAUGAACGGUCUUGACUAUCAUUAGUUGAGAAUCAACGUUCCGUAGGUGAACCUGCGGAAGGAUCAUUACUGAGACCGGGUCCUGUCAUUCAGGCCCGACCUUCAACCCUAUGUUUAAAGACCUUGUUUCUUUGACGGUUAAAUCGCCAGAAGCAAUCUGAAAUUCUUUAUCAAUGUAUCUUCUGAAUAAAAUAUAAAUAAAUAAAUAGAACUUUCAACAACGGAUCUCUUGGUUCUG
rnacentral:misc_RNA from 1 species